ACGGCCGCCGUCACCAAAGGUCUCUCGAGGGGACGAAUCUCAGAUCUUCAAGACGAAGUUUUGUCGGCUGGGACGACGUGAUUGCUGUGGACUUCACGCGCAGCGCCGAGUCCGUCGCCAAGCGCGGCGCUGACGUCAUGAAGAUACUGAGAGAUACCGAGAUGAAGGUGGAUCUGUCGGCGCUGUUCAUGCCGCGGCAAGCCGGCGCAUGACGACGGAGGAAGC